rnacentral:lncRNA from 1 species
CAGGGUACAGUCCCACAUCCCCUGGGUACAGCCCCACAUCACCUGGGUACAGUCCUACCUCUCCAACAUACAGCCCUAGCUCUCCAGGAUACAGUCCUACGAGCCCAGCUUAUUCACCUACAAGUCCAUCCUACUCUCCCACGUCACCCAGCUACAGUCCCACAUCACCCAGCUACAGCCCAACUUCUCCCAGCUACAGCCCUACAUCUCCCAGCUAUAGCCCCACUUCACCUGCAUACAGCCCAACAUCUCCAGCAUACAGCCCCACUUCACCUGCCUAUAGUCCCACUUCUCCAUCAUAUAGUCCAACAUCACCUUCCUACAGUCCAACUUCGCCUUCCUACAGCCCCACAUCACCCUCUUACAGCCCGACAUCUCCCUCAUAUAGCCCUACAUCACCUGCUUACAGCCCUACCUCUCCUGGGUACAGCCCCACAUCACCCUCUUACAGCCCAACAUCACCAUCAUAUAGUCCUACUUCCCCAAGUUACAAUCCGCAGUCUGCUAAGUAUAGCCCUUCAUUGGCAUAUUCUCCCAGCAGUCCGAGGUUGUCUCCAUCAAGUCCCUAUAGUCCCACGUCUCCAAGCUACAGGUGAGUCAUCUUCUGGGUAUUUGUAGUUUUUUUUUAAGCACCAACAUGAUAUAUGAAACCUGUAAAUGCUUAAAGAUAUCUCAAAAACUUGAAACUCAUUUCCUUCACUUUUCAGUCUUAUACUUGGGUUUGAAGAGGAAUCACUGCAUUAUGCAAUAAAAAUUGUUUUCCUUUGAAUUUUCCAUAUUAGGAACCACUAUGUUAUGCAAUAAACAUUAUUUUCCUCUGAAUUUUCCAUAUUUUUCAAUGAUUAGCUUGUUGGGUGGCUGAAUCUGAAUAUAGUCUGGCCUAUUUUUAUAUCAAUUGCAUUUUUCUUGCGGUAAUCUUAACACUAAGCAAUGUCUGUUUUUUUUUUCUUUUCUUUUUUCCAGCCCAACGUCUCCAUCAUACUCUCCAACAUCUCCAUCGUAUUCUCCCUCGAGCCCAACAUACAGUCCCAGCAGGUAAGUGAACUUCAUUUAUUAUCCCGUCAAGGCUUUUGACAAUUUAUCUAGUGUCUAUGUCAAUAGCAGUAUAUAAUCAAGGUUUCUUCUUUUUUUCUUUUGUUAUUAAAGGUUAACAGAAUAUAAUUGCUUUCUGUGUGACUUACUCAUAUUUAUACAUUUUUCUAGCCCAUAUAAUUCUGGUACCAGCCCAGACUAUAGCCCAAGUUCACCGCAAUUUAGGUAUGUUAUUCAUGGAUGAUUCUUUAAAUGCUAAGUGGUAAUGAAGGCAUAUAACUGAGCAUUCUGUUUUUUUAAAUUUUUUAUUUGACUAUCUGCAGUCCGAGUACUGGUUACUCACCAAGUCAACCUGGCUACUCACCAUCCUCAACCAGCCAGUACACUCCACAGACAAGUGACAAGGAUGAUACAGGCACUCAGUGAGGUGAGUUGUUUGUUUGCUGAAGUAUAAUAUUGCUAUUUUUUUUUUUUUUUAAUCUUAUUGAUGAAGUAAAAUAUAAAUGGUUCAGAAGUUCUCUUCACUACACAUAAGUGGAUUGAAAGUCCUCAUUAUUUGCCAUCUACCUCAUAUUUUAAAUUUUUGAAAAGUCUUGGCUAGAAAUCUAUUGAGGAAGAUUUGCAUAUGUAGCCUGUUAUAUAGAAGGGUGAUCAAAGCGUCUAAAUAGAUCUGGGUUUUUUGAGAGGGGGGUUGACUGUUGAGGGUGGUUUAGGAAAAUUGUUGUUAUUGGAUUAGAGGGGGGUAGAUGAUUGGAAUGUGGGGAAUUGCUGACCCACCACUUUAUUCUGUCAAAGUAAAUUAUGAUUGCCUGCCACUAUCCAUGUAAUGAGUUUUUAACAUUCAUGCAACUACGUAUUUGGCCUUUUACCCUUUUGCUUUGGCCCAAAAGAAAGUUACUUAUAGCAAGUGAACCUAUUUGUAACUUAUCAAGUUACAAAUCAAGUUUAAAUUUAGGCAUAAUUGCCAAAGUAUCUAAGACGGGUGUGAAUGUGCAGACAGCUUCAGGCUAGAUGGUGCAGUUUGAGGUUCUGCUGAGACUGGAAAAUGGGAUGUUCGAGGGCUAAUAGUUUGAUUUGUAUUAAUCACAAAUGAUUUGAUUCUGUUGACAAUGUCUUCAGAGUACUGGCAACUCUGAUUUCAAAUUUUACGUUAAUAGGUAAAGGUUUUUUUUUUUUGUUCCAAUAUAUGUCAUGUAAAUUGUUGAGGAUGAUCGACUAUAUAAAGUACUAAUAAUCUGAAACGAGUUCAUGAUGCGGAUGUUGAAUGAACAAUUUUCCGGUCAUAGAUCAUAAAUGUUAAGUUCUCUUGUUGUCACCAUGCCAUAGUGUGAUGAGUGGGUGUUGUGUGGUUUUUGCAGUUUUUAUUUCUGUUGCCUAUUUAGUCUUCUCACCUUAGUAUGAAAACAAUUAUCUAGUAUACAUAAUAAGCCAGAUGAGCCUUUUUUUUUUUAUAAAAAAAAACAGAUGAAAUCUAGUCAAGUUCAAAUAUUUUUACACUUUAAAUUAAAGAAUUCGCAAGACUUUUGGGUCAUAGUUUAAUUGAUUUAGCAGGUUCAAUUACAAAUAAAUUUGAUGAUUGAGUUCAAAUGAAUAAAGAAUAAAUAAUUGUACUAUAUACUCCAAUCAGCCUUCGUCCAAAUGAGGUAAAUAGUACCAACCGACAUUUUUUAAUCAAAAUUUUAACCGUAGUAAGAAGUUUGGUAUUUUAAUAGAACAAAAACGGUUCACAGUUCAUGAGUUCAUAAACAAAACACUGAAUUCCAAAAAGGUAAAUCAAAUUAAGAUUGGUAACAUAUUUGGUGCUUGUAUGGCUCUGAUGAAUCGGCGAUACGGCCGUGGCCAACUGGGGAUUGUAUUGCAUGCGCUUGUUCCGCCCAUUUCUCAAAGCGUUGGUUUUUAGGUUUUGAUUUUGUUCAUUUCUCAACGUUGGUUUUUAGGUUUUUGUUGUUGUUAGUUUUUGGUUUUCACUUCAAAGUGUUCUAUUCUUUCAAAUUUUCAAUAGAUUUAGCGGUACAAGGUUCUCUAAAAGACGAAUAAAUGAACAAAAGGCAACAGAGAAUAUGCUUUACGAACUAAUAAUCUGAUACUUUAACUUUGAACAAAUACACAUCCUCCCAUUCAACGGCAUUGCCAUAAGAUAUUUGAAAAUAAAAUAAAAUAUAAUGGUCAUGUUUAAUUAAUCCUAAAUUUCAAUGUCCAAACAAAUGGCCUAUUUCAGUGUCAAAGUGACGCAUCAACCUAUGUAACGACGACUAAUCAAAGUUAAAAAAAUGUUUUAUAAUGUGCCGGCAACUUAAGCUGAUUUCAUUACAAUUUCUUUACACUUGCACUCUACUAUGCUAGCACGCCACUUCUCUAUCAUCAAUGUCAACCAUAUUCUUUCUUUAAUUGCCCCCUAAUUUUAAUUUGUCUCUUUUAAUUUCCCGAUUAGAUGAUAUCUAAUCAUGAAUCAUACCUUUCAGCUACCUCCUAUUAUGUCCCUUACAUUUUAAACCAUGCUAUAAAUGUUAGCAUAGCAUAACUUUUCACAAUUUCAUACUUCAAAACCAUUUUCCUCAGAAGAAAAUACUGCACAGCACAUAAGCUCUAGAUGGAGAAACUGUUUAAGAUUAAAACAACGUUCUUGAAGUUUCUAUCUAAACAACCACCAGUGUCUUUAGCGGGAUAUCAGAACCCAACUCUUAGUCCUUGUCGAUCACCUACAACACAUGUUUCAUUAUUCCCUAAGGAAGCUAGAAGAAAGCACAAAAGGGGAAUUAGUUUUAGUCCAAAAGAACCCACUUCUCC